AAUGCACAUAUUGUAAGUCGCUUUGGAUAAAAGCGUCAGCUAAAUGACAUGUA
rfam:Gasterosteus aculeatus cont1.000461, whole genome shotgun sequence.